GUCCAGCUGAUGAGUCCCAAAUAGGAAGAAACGCGCGUGCUGGAU
rfam:Schistosoma rodhaini strain Burundi genome assembly, scaffold: SROB_scaffold0000556